UUAAGUCCCGCAACGAGCGCAACCCUUGUCAUUAGUUGCCAUCAUUUAGUUGGGGCACUCUAAUGAGACUGCCGGUGACAAACCGGAGGAAAGGUGGGGAUGACGUCAAGUCCUCAUGGCCCUUAUGGGUAGGGCUUCACACGUCAUACAAUGGUCGGUACAGAGGGUUGCCAAGCCGCGAGGUGGAGCCAAUCCCAGAAAGCCGCUCUCAGUUCGGAUUGCAGGCUGCAACUCGCCUGCAUGAAGCCGGAAUCGCUAGUAAUCGCGGAUCAGCAUGCCGCGGUGAAUACGUUCCCGGGCCUU
rnacentral:rRNA from 1 species